UGAAUUCUUAGUGGCUGGAGCGACCAAAUGCAGCUGAUAAAACAGAUAAACUCUGCGUCUGACUUUCAGCCUUGCCAACAGUGGGUGCUGGAGCUACUGAUCAACAGCAAAAGAUGGACAGAAUUUACAUGCUAAAUUUAAGCAAAAUUUCAGCUCAGCCACUGGAUCCUUGUCAAAAUGAUAAGGAAUCGAGGUUUUGAGAUACCUUCUCCAAAUUCACUGGAAAGGAAGUCAUGAAACAUUCAUCGGUGGCAGUUCUUGGUGGUUCCCACCGUCUCGGUGACUCAUGGUGAGCAGUGUCAGCCUUCAGGACCCUGGUCCCCACUCCCCGCAACUGAUGUCUGUUAGCAUCACUCAGGAUACUGUAUCACCUGACAAAACAGCAUCUUCAACGUGCACGAGGAGU